GAGUAACAAUUACAAGGAUUUGAUAAUGGAAAAUGAGUAAAACAGAAUAACAAACAAAGUAACAAACUAGCAGAGAGAUUCUACUAGCCCCAAAGCACUAAGUGCUCCAAAUCACUAACAAGUGAUUCCAUACAAAUAACAGAAUUCCCAGAUCCUUAUUCUAUCUCACUGACACCACUUAUAUAGCUAUAAACCCAUGCACAUCAUGAAUCACUUGGCCACGUCAUUAUUCUCUAUGAUUUUCCCUUGCUUUCUCUAAACAUCUCUUUUGGUUUGGGCCCAAGGUCAAGGCCCACUUUAUGAUCCAUGUUUCUAUCACAGACUUAAAACAAAAAUACG
rnacentral:lncRNA from 1 species